UGAAUCGGAGGAGGGUGAAUUGAUGGGUCUGGCCAACAUAAGUGAUACGCCGGGCGAAGAAGUGAGCUAUUCCGGCUAGCAAAAGGCAGAGAGCAACCGCACAGGUCGUUCGUCAACUGAGUCACGCACACGCAGCGUGCAGCUCAAUGAGAGAUAGAGAGACAUUGGUUAAAGCUGUGACAUGUGUCCUCAACCAACGUGGCGUGUAC
rnacentral:misc_RNA from 1 species